rnacentral:rRNA from 1 species
GGGUGUGACUGCGUACCUUUUGUAUAAUGGGUCAGCGACUUAUAUUCUGUAGCAAGGUUAACCGAAUAGGGGAGCCGGAGGGAAACCGAGUCUUAACCGGGCGUUAAGUUGCAGGGUAUAGACCCGAAACCCGGUGAUCUAGCCAUGGGCAGGUUGAAGGUUGGGUAACACUAACUGGAGGACCGAACCGACUAAUGUUGAAAAAUUAGCGGAUGACCUGUGGCUGGGGGUGAAAGGCCAAUCAAACCGGGAGAUAGCUGGUUCUCCCCGAAAGCUAUUUAGGUAGCGCCUCGUGAAUUCAUCUCCGGGGGUAGAGCACUGUUUCGGCUAGGGGGCCAUCCCGGCUUACCAACCCGAUGCAAACUGCGAAUACCGGAGAAUGUUAUCACGGGAGACACACGGCGGGUGCUAACGUCCGUCGUGAAGAGGGAAACAACCCAGACCGCCAGCUAAGGUCCCAAAGUCAUGGUUAAGUGGGAAACGAUGUGGGAAGGCCCAGACAGCCAGGAUGUUGGCUUAGAAGCAGCCAUCAUUUAAAGAAAGCGUAAUAGCUCACUGGUCGAGUCGGCCUGCGCGGAAGAUGUAACGGGGCUAAACCAUGCACCGAAGCUGCGGCAGCGACACUGUGUGUUGUUGGGUAGGGGAGCGUUCUGUAAGCCUGUGAAGGUGUGUCGUGAGGCAUGCUGGAGGUAUCAGAAGUGCGAAUGCUGACAUAAGUAACGAUAAAGCGGGUGAAAAGCCCGCUCGCCGGAAGACCAAGGGUUCCUGUCCAACGUUAAUCGGGGCAGGGUGAGUCGACCCCUAAGGCGAGGCCGAAAGGCGUAGUCGAUGGGAAACGGGUUAAUAUUCCCGUACUUGGUGUUACUGCGAAGGGGGGACGGAGAAGGCUAUGUUGGCCGGGCGACGGUUGUCCCGGUUUAAGCGUGUAGGUGUGUGUUCCAGGUAAAUCCGGUUCACUUUAACACUGAGGCGUGACGACGAGGCACUACGGUGCUGAAGCAACAAAUGCCCUGCUUCCAGGAAAAGCCUCUAAGCAUCAGGUAACAUCAAAUCGUACCCCAAACCGACACAGGUGGUCAGGUAGAGAAUACCAAGGCGCUUGAGAGAACUCGGGUGAAGGAACUAGGCAAAAUGGUGCCGUAACUUCGGGAGAAGGCACGCUGACACGUAGGUGAAGUGAUUUACUCAUGGAGCUGAAGUCAGUCGAAGAUACCAGCUGGCUGCAACUGUUUAUUAAAAACACAGCACUGUGCAAACACGAAAGUGGACGUAUACGGUGUGACGCCUGCCCGGUGCCGGAAGGUUAAUUGAUGGGGUCAGCGCAAGCGAAGCUCCUGAUCGAAGCCCCGGUAAACGGCGGCCGUAACUAUAACGGUCCUAAGGUAGCGAAAUUCCUUGUCGGGUAAGUUCCGACCUGCACGAAUGGCGUAAUGAUGGCCAGGCUGUCUCCACCCGAGACUCAGUGAAAUUGAACUCGCUGUGAAGAUGCAGUGUACCCGCGGCAAGACGGAAAGACCCCGUGAACCUUUACUAUAGCUUGACACUGAACAUUGAGCCUUGAUGUGUAGGAUAGGUGGGAGGCUUUGAAGUGUGGACGCCAGUCUGCAUGGAGCCGACCUUGAAAUACCACCCUUUAAUGUUUGAUGUUCUAACGUGGACCCGUUACCCGGGUUGCGGACAGUGUCUGGUGGGUAGUUUGACUGGGGCGGUCUCCUCCUAAAGAGUAACGGAGGAGCACGAAGGUUGGCUAAUCCUGGUCGGACAUCAGGAGGUUAGUGCAAUGGCAUAAGCCAGCUUGACUGCGAGCGUGACGGCGCGAGCAGGUGCGAAAGCAGGUCAUAGUGAUCCGGUGGUUCUGAAUGGAAGGGCCAUCGCUCAACGGAUAAAAGGUACUCCGGGGAUAACAGGCUGAUACCGCCCAAGAGUUCAUAUCGACGGCGGUGUUUGGCACCUCGAUGUCGGCUCAUCACAUCCUGGGGCUGAAGUAGGUCCCAAGGGUAUGGCUGUUCGCCAUUUAAAGUGGUACGCGAGCUGGGUUUAGAACGUCGUGAGACAGUUCGGUCCCUAUCUGCCGUGGGCGCUGGAGAACUGAGGGGGGCUGCUCCUAGUACGAGAGGACCGGAGUGGACGCAUCACUGGUGUUCGGGUUGUCAUGCCAAUGGCACUGCCCGGUAGCUAAAUGCGGAAGAGAUAAGUGCUGAAAGCAUCUAAGCACGAAACUUGCCCCGAGAUGAGUUCUCCCUGAGAC